AGAACAUACAUCAAAAAGUCUCUAAAAACAGCACUAAUCAAAUUGUCCACUCAUUUUUUCCCUCCCACCCUGAGUGAGCACAAGUGAGGCAUCUCCUAGGGACCCUGAGAAGUACCACAGUAAAAUCCUAGAGGGAACAUAGAGACACUCCUCAUGUCCUGAGAUCAAUCCAAGCUGUCUCAAAGGGAGAAUAACCAUAACGAUUUUCUCCCAUUCCACCCAGGCUUUCCUUCUUGUUUUUGCCCUUUUCAACCUAGUGCACUUGCAAAAUCCAAGCCCAGAGAGGGAGGCCACAAGAGCAGAAGCCUUUCAAGAUUACCCCGAGGCUAGUGGGUGAGUAUCUUCCCCCUGCUCUCUCAGCUGGAGGAGCAGGCAAGAUUGAUUCAACCAAGAUACCCGGCAGCACUGGAAAAACUGAGAUCUCAGCAAAGGCAGGACGGGCUUCUCCAAAGAACAAACUGACACAAAAAGGGCACGUACAUUAAAUUUACACACACACAAAAAAAAUAAU
rnacentral:lncRNA from 1 species